rnacentral:RNase_P_RNA from 1 species
GAAGUUCGCCAGGCAGUCGCUGGACAAAACAUCGUCUGGAGGAAAGUCCGGGCCCCAUAGAGCAGGAUGCCGGCUAACGGCCGGGCGCCGUGAGGCGACAGACAGUGCAACAGAAACAUACCGCCAAUGGCUCCGCAAGGAGAUCAGGUAAGGGUGAAAUCGUGCGGUAAGAGCGCACGGCCGUACUGGUAACAGCUACGGCGGGCAAACCUCAUCCGGGGCAAGGCCAAAUAGGGGAGCAUUGGCGUGGCUCGCGUCGCUCCCGGGUAGGCUGCUAGAGGCUGGCGGUAACGUCAGUCCCAGAGGAAUGACUGCCCACGACAGAACCCGGCUUACCGGCGAACUUCCACC